rnacentral:rRNA from 2 species
UACGGAGGGUGCAAGCGUUAUCCGGAUUCACUGGGUUUAAAGGGUGCGUAGGCGGAUUAUUAAGUCAGUGGUGAAAGCCUGCAGCUUAACUGCAGAACUGCCAUUGAUACUGAUGAUCUUGAGUAUGAUUGAGGUGGGCGGAAUGUGUCAUGUAGCGGUGAAAUGCUUAGAUAUGACACAGAACACCGAUUGCGAAGGCAGCUCACUAAGCCAUAACUGACGCUGAUGCACGAAAGCGUGGGGAGCAAACAGG